UGUCCAUGCUCUUUGGAUUAGUCUCGUGCGGAGGACGGCGGAGUGAAAAGGCUCCAGAGUUUAGUUUAGUAAAGACCUUGUGACGUCACAGACAGCUGGAUGUGGACUUCAAAGCUGAAAUAAAACUACAAAGAGCAGUGAGAGUGUUUUGGGAGGAUGGAGACAGUCUGAGCUGCUGACUGAGAGACACUGGGACAUGGACCCAGACAGGAUGUCCUCCUGGAGGACACACGGGGACACUUCAACUCCAGACGUCCAAACAGUGAUCGCUGUUAAAGAGGAGCAGCAGGAGUGGAGCUCCAGUGUGGACCAGGAGGACCCAGAGCCCCCACACAUUAAAGAGGAAGAGGAGGAACUGUGGAGCAGUCAG